rnacentral:rRNA from 1 species
GCAAGUCGAGCGGUAACAGAAAGUAGCUUGCUACUUUGCUGACGAGCGGCGGACGGGUGAGUAAUGCUUGGGAACAUGCCUUGAGGUGGGGGACAACAGUUGGAAACGACUGCUAAUACCGCAUACGCCCUACGGGGGAAAGGAGGGGACCUUCGGGCCUCACGCCAUAAGAUUAGCCCAAGUGGGAUUAGCUAGUUGGUGAGGUAAUGGCUCACCAAGGCGACGAUCCCUAGCUGGUUUGAGAGGAUGAUC